rnacentral:lncRNA from 1 species
AUGUGUCGCUAUUUGAUCUUGGCGUCUCCAUACGGGAUUUUAUAGGUAUAAAAUAGCAGGAUUUUAGGUUUCUUGUUAAGCAUACAUAUAAAACAGCGUAUAAAACUGCUUAUUUGGAUAUAAUAUACAUAUAAAAUAUUUCUAAAUUGUCUCCUAGUGUGUCACUAAACAUAGAAUAGUGCCCCGCUAUUUCAUUGCUAUCGUUACGUAGCGUGUAGGUAGCUUGUCGCAAUCUUCCGCUAUUAAUAACUACGAUUGAAUGUAACUGAGUAUUAUGAUGAUGAGAUAAGUAGUUAGAUAUCUUAAAGUUGAUUUUGUAAAUAAAGAAAAUUGGGAAGUGUGGAAGCUUUCUAAUGGUGUUUCCUGUCUACUAUAAAAUGCAUGAAGAAGAACAACGAAAUAGUAGAAACGUUUCUUCUUGGAUCAAUUUAAUAAUUUAUGUUGGGUCAUAGCACAGUUGCAUUUUCUCUUGAUUUCCUUGAAGAGGGUUAAGGCCCAAGCUUCACAACAAAAGGAAAAAAAAAAAAAACAAUGGUCAACAGUGUUUGAUUUGUAUUGAGUUAACUUUUAGAAACUAAAUUAAAGUAAUAAAUCUUGUUUAACAACUUAAUUUUUUUUCCUUCAACAAAAAGACCAACUGGUCUGCUUAUGUACAAAAAUUGUUUUAUGAUUUUACUCAUAAGAAAAUCUAAAUGAUUUAAAAAAACACUCGAAUGGAUUAUUUUAGUUAGGGAUUGGUAUGAAAGUGUGAUGUUUAGCCAAUAAACUGAAUUGACUGUUUGGAUGCUAUAAAGAUAUGGAUUUGGCUAAACAAGUAGUUUUAUAAGUAUACUCUCAUAAGUCAAAUAACACAAAAAAAUAGUUAUACAUUUGGAAAGUGUGAAUACUCAUAAAAAAUUAUGCACGAAAACUUCAUGUUAUUUAAUUGAACUAACAUGUGAAGAUUUCUAUAUCACAAGUUAUGGUUCGUAAAUUGUGGCACGUGUAAAACUCAGCCAAUCAACUAGGAUCCCUGUAUAGAAAACACUACUAUAUAGUAUAUUGUAUAGAAAUUGAUCGUCAAAUGUCAUGGUUAUAGGAUUUUUAAAUACUAUAAAACUCAGAAAACUUAUAUUUACCAAUCAACAAAAGAAAACAUUUAUAUAUAUAAUAUAUGAAACGUGUAAAUACUCAUAAUUAAAUUGCACGAACAUUUAACUGAUGAACUAAAAUGUGAGAUUUCUAUAUGCCAAGUUAUGGUUCAUUAAUGAACUCACACGUGUUAGAAACUCAACCAUUCGAUUAGGAUCUCUAUAUAGAAAACAUUAGUGUGUUGUAUGAAAAUGACAGUAAAAUGUUACGGUUAUAUGAUGUGUGAAAGGUAAAGAGCUAACAACUGAUAGAGUAAAGGACUUACAUAGAAGAGGACUAACAGUUCCCAAUGAGAAAAAAAGUUUAAGGUUAGGGUUGAAAUGCAUGCUCCCGUGUCAUGUUAGAUAUUUAAUAAUUGUUCAUACCUAAAAAAAUUCAAAUAAUAAAGAUAUGAAUGUUUAUAGAACUUAAUUGAUUGUAUAUAUGCUUAUAGAUUUUUGUAAGCCACUAAUGUUAUCAGCACAAAGCAAGGCAUAAGUCGGGCAAAGAAAGUUUCCACGUUCAGGCAAAAUAAGUUUCCACGUUUGGGUAAAGUACGCCCCUGUGUUUGGCCAAAGCAAGUCCCCGUGCCGCUUAUGUGGCAAAACAUAAAACAUUAUAAAGGUUAUGAUUGCUUUAUUAUGAUAAUUGUCCGUUUUAAAUAAAUACAAUUGGCAUGCUAUUUUGAAAGUGGAAACUUUGUGUACGAUUAAAACUAUAGACUUGCCAACGUAAGAUGACCUCAAGAGUGUACGUGACCUCUAGGAGCAAGGGUAAGGAUUUGAAACAUUAGAGGCAUCGAGAGGCUUUUCUAAAGAGAAAAGUUUAAGAGAUUUCCUUUAUAGUUAAAGUUAAACUCACUUGUUUUAAGAGGUAACUUUCUAGUGAAAAUUAGCGACAGAUGUAUAGAGUCUUGUGUGAUAGUAUUAGCUUACUGGAGUUAGGAGAUAACUUUCUAUUGGACUACUGUGAGACCUAAAUAUUUUAAGAACUAAAAAGUGAGAUUUACAUUGUAGCAAGCUGUGCAAGUUGAGGAGGAUAUGUGCCUAUGUGAACAUGUGAAGGACU